UACGUAGGGGGCAAGCGUUGUCCGGAAUCAUUGGGCGUAAAGCGCGCGUAGGCGGCCCUGUAAGUCCGUUGUGAAAGUCGAAGGCUCAACCUUCGAAAGCCGAUGGAUACUGCAGGGCUAGAGUCCGGAAGAGGCGAGUGGAAUUCCUGGUGUAGCGGUGAAAUGCGCAGAUAUCUGGAGGAACACCGGUGGCGAAGGCGACAUCCUGGACCGGUAUUGACGCUGAUGAGCGAAAGCCAGGGGAGCAAACGGG
rnacentral:rRNA from 1 species